GAUGAAGAACGUAGCGAAAUGCGAUAAGUAGUGUGAAUUGCAGAAUUUAGUGAAUCAUCGAAUCUUUGAACGCACAUUGCGCCCUAUAGUAUUCUGUAGGGCAUGCCUGUUCGAGCGUUAUUGAGACCUCAAGCUCUGCUUGGAAAUGGGCGCUUGUCUUGCCUUGCAGACUCGCCUUAAAACCAUUGGCAGCUAAUUUACAAUGUUUGGUGCACAGUACAUGAGCCCAAGUGUUGCAAUGAGUGGCCCAAAAGUAUACAAUAGAAGCUUAACCUCGGAUCAGGUAGGGAUACCCGCUGAACUUAAGCAUAUCAAUAAGCGGAGGA
rnacentral:misc_RNA from 1 species